GCCCCCGUAGCUCAGCGGAUAGAGCAGGUAGCUUCUAACUACAAGGUCGCUGGUUCGAGUCCGGCCGGGGGCA
rnacentral:tRNA from 1 species